ACUGAUAAAACUAUAAUUUUACAUUUUGACAGUAUAUUAUUAAACAGUAUUUAACAGUAUUUAACAGCAUUUUUAUAUUGAGAAACAUGUAGAAAGUGUAUUUCAAGUAGAAAUUACAGCAGCAGUAAAAGAUUUCAAAUUAUUGCUUUGCAACAUGUAUCCCUACCAUGAAGGAGUAUAAGGAGAAAACAUCAGAAAAAUAAUCAGAAUUUCUCGUGUUUUUGAGCAGUAUUUCUUACAAUUGCAACUCAAAAACCUUAAAAGGAAAUAGAACCCUUCAAAAUACUGUCAAGAAUCAUCACAACUUUUAUGACUGCCAAGGAUAUUAAUUAUGACUGUAAAGGUCGUCACGCCUUUUAUGACUUAGUUUUUCAGGAAACUUUUGGUGCUGCUCUUAAAAAUAUCUCAUGUGUUCCAGUGCCCACCAAUCGAUUUACCUUCUUUAAAUAAUUAUACAACUUACGGAAAUGUAAUGUAUGUUUGGAUCUGCAUUGGUCUUUGU